UUGCAGUCCAAUGUCCAUUUCCCAAGUUACUACAGGUUCCUUUCUGCAAGCAUGUUACCACGAAGUUUUAUCACAUACUUCACAGUACAAAGAUUGGAGUCAGGAUGUUACAUCUGUCCUGCAUUUCUUCGUGCUAAUAGAAUUGCAAGGAGAUUUUACCAAGAUUUUCUUGGUAAAAUCUUGGAAAACUUUUAGAAUGCUUUUAUGUGCUUGUUAUUUACCACUUCUUUAUUACCAAUUCCAGAAUGCUUGUUAUUUACCACUUCUUUCCUUCCAAUUCCAGAACUUAGUAUCCAAUCCAUGGAUUAGAGGCAGUAAAUGAAUAUUAGUCACACUACGUGGCGCACAUGACAGAUGUAAUGCGUAGGUGUCCGUCGUUAUAGUCCAUAAGCAGAACAGAAAGUAGUAUUUUGUUACUUGUCGGAGCCAGCUACAGACCCUUUUUUUUAAGAUACGUGGAAAGUAGUAUGGUGCAGAUGGACGCAUGGCUCAAACCAUUUAGCUUUUUAAGGUUGAACUAUGUAAAGCCUAUCUAAAGUCAUUGUCAUUUGUGAUGUCCUGUUCUAGUAUCACCCCUCCAGAGGGACUAAUAUGCAAUACUGACAGUUUGUUGUUUUUGUCCAAAUCUGUUAGGCAUGAUUGAUGAAAUGAUCAAAUAAAACCCAUUUGAUAAUGCAUGUUAUUUACAAAAUCCCAAUACCUGGAGUCAUUGGGUAAUACUCGUCAAUGUUGUGACUCGGUGCGAGAACGAUUUCUGGGAUGGAUUCGUUGCCAUUUAUACCCUCAUUAUGGCUUGUAACGUGAAAGUUAUAUGCAAUGUUGUGUUUAUACCAGAAUGAAGGUCAACAAGACGGGUAGAGGGUAUACCUGGACUUCCUUGGGGAUGUAGAUCAACAAGAGGUGGUAGAGGUACAUCCGAUGCCUUUCUUUGUUCCGGUGCCUUGCUAUUUGAAUUUCCCUUACUUAACUUUUGUUCUGAUGAGUGACCUAUCACAAAUGUAGGCCAACAUGAGAAGCUAGAGUAGAGGUCCAUUUCAAAGUAAACUUACAGGAGGACAAAGCUACCAACUGCUUACAAGAAAAGCUUGAACCUGGUCGAGCUGGGAACAUUGAUAAAGAAAAGGUGUAAUUUAGCUUUGCGUAAAAUUCAGAGAAGUUGCAUAUGUAUAAAUUGUAUGAUUCACAAGUCCGAAAACCUUCAAGUGUCUUAUUGAAUGUGCUGCCGACGGAAGCAUAAAAAAUCAUCAUACAUACAGGAAGGUACUGCUCCAUCGGAGUUCUGUACGUAUGUGCGUUGGGCCCUGUUGAAUGGACGAAGGGUUUAGGGUUUAGGCGAACCUGAUUUAGGCGGAACCUGAUCGGUGGCACCCUCCCUGGGAUCGGCGGAGGCGGAUGCGUGCGUGGGGUUGUGCGGCAGCCUCCCACGGAUCGGCAGCGACGGAGGCGUCAAUGGGAUUGUGCGG
rnacentral:lncRNA from 1 species